AAUAAGUUAUGGUAUAUAAAUAUUAUGGAAUAUUAUUUUUCUAAAGAAACAAUCAGCAGGAUGAUUUCAGAGAAGGCUGGAGAGACUUACAUUAACUAAUGCUGAGUGAAGUGAGUAGAACCAGGAAAACAUUGUAAACAGCAAUAGCAAGAUUAUAUAAUGAUCAAUUCUGAUGGACAUAGCUCUUCUCAAAAAUGAGAUGAUCAGGCCAGUUUCAAUGAUCUUAUAAUGAAGAGAGCCAGAAAGAGGACUGUGGGAACUGAGUAUGGACUACAGCAUAGUAUUUUCACUCUUAUAUUGUACUUUGCUUGCAUUUUGUUUUUUUUCUCAUUUUUUUCUUUUUGAUCUGAUUUUUCUUGUGCAGCAUGAUAAUUGUGGAAAUGUUUAGAAGAAUUGCACAUGUUUAACAUAUAUCAGAUUACUUGCCAUCUAGGGAAAGGGGUAGGAAGGGAGAAAAAUUGGGGGACAUAAGGUUUUGCAAGAGUAAAUGAUGAAAAUUAUAAAUGCAUAUAUUUUGAAAAUAAAAAGCUUUAAUAAAAAAUGCAAAAAAAAAAAAAAGAAUAGUUUCCUUGGCUUGCAGAAACUUCACAUGAUUUUUCAAGUAUAUUCUCUUUGAUAAAAUGUUUUGAGUUAUAUUCUCCAUUCUCUUUUUCAUCAUGUUCACUUCUUUAACAACAACAAAAAAAUGUUCUGGUCACUUUUCCAAACCAUCAAGCCUCUUUUUGAAUUUUUCUUGAAGAACUUUAAUUUUGUUCUUUACCAUCUUCUUCAAUUUUUUAUUAUUUUAACCACCAGUUCUCUCUAUGGUAGUCCAUUACCUUAUGAUGAUCAGUUAGGUACAGUUCAUUUCUACCUCUUCUCAAGAAAGGAAAGGAGUUGAAAUCUUUCCAGACCAUUGGGCUGGCUAAAGUGAGACUUUCCCUUCUAGGAGCUAUCCACUUUUUCUUUCUCUCCCUGUACUUUUAUCUCAGUUCAAGCAGACUAGGAGCCUUAAGGCCCAAGAUUAGCAAUCCACACUUGGAAAUCAUAUCCCAACAGAAGAAGAUAGAUUCUAUGAAUUUAAAGAGAAGUGAAUGGCCAUAGACUUCCAUUUAUAGAUUCUUUGCUUAUAAGGAGACAUCAUAUUAUUAGUAAAAUGAAAUAACACCUUUGGCUUAAUUUUUUUCCCUUUUUUGCUUUCUGAGACACCAAACUGAAAUGAAAGAAUUCUAAUUUAUGCACUCUGGAAAUAUAAAACAGAGUCAUGCCCUUUGCACACUGAUAUUCUAGAUAAAAACUUUUUUUCUAAAGACAAUGUCAGACAAUCUCUUUCAUUUAAAAAGCUCUAAUGUUUUUCCUUACCAUUUAUUCAUUCAAUCAUUCAUUUACUUAUUCAUUUUGGACUAGGUGAAAGAGAGGAGAUUCUUUUCCUCAAUUGCUACUCAGCCUUAAUCAUUGAAUGGGUGCAGCCUUAGUCAAAUUGAAACCUUUUGAAGACCUUAGCUUUAAAAAGCCAAGGUCUCCUAUUCCAUCCAGGGGCAUCUCCAGUCGUCUUGAUUUAUUAUCUUACCAUUGGAUCCAGAUGGCUCUGGAGGGGAAAGUGAGGCAGGUGAUUUUGCACAGGCCUCCUUCACUCAAAUCACUUGCAUUUCAUAGCAUCACCUCACUUCUUCACAAUCCUUUUCGAGAAUGGUCCUUUUUGGGAAUAAGAAUAGCUUAAAAAAAAAAAAGUACAGGAUGUGGUAAACUCUUUGGUUAAAUCUUCAUUUGUAACAAUGGAAUGGUAAGAGAAAGUACAAAAGCUUUGUUGUUUGUCAGCUUCUGAGACACAAUUCUUUUCAUCUAACAGAGAGUUUUUAAAUGUUAUCUUUGGAGAGUGGGAGUGCUACUGUCUUCCCUUUGUCUCUUUUUUUCUGCUAUUUCUGCCUAACCACCUAUAUUGUCCCUCAUUGGCUUCCUUCUCUAGUUGUUAAAAAGUGUUGCUGCUGCUUUUUUUUUUAAAUCAUGCUAUUAGUUAAAGUCAAAAAAAAACUCAAGAUACUUGACUAUCAUUCAAAUUAUUUACCCUUUGAGAUCCUCAGUACUAGUUCUGGAAGGGAGGUAGGAAAGAAGAAGAGAGAGGAAAAUAUACCUGAUUUUCAUUUAAUUUGUGAUUUUUUUUUGUAUUGUUCCAUUCUCUUUUCUGAAGUUCUAUUGUACUUAAUACAAAAUUAAUCUCUUCUACCAAGAUUUCUCUUUAUAUCCUUUUACCCUCUAAGGAUUUUUUCCCCUCAUGUUAGACAGUUGGCAAUGAAUAUUUUUGGCUUAUUAAUUUCUUUGGCUUCCUUCUCCUUAGAAGAUUCUCUCCCCACACACUUUAUUUGAUGCAUAUUUUGAAGUGUAGGAAAACUGGAUUUAGAUAUAACUUUCCAAUGAGCCAUCUUAUUGUCCCUGCAUUUGCUUUUUUUUUUUUUUUUACAAAUUGUAGACACUCUCAAAUAGUUUGAAAACCAAGUUAUAAUUUCCCUAUUAAAAUGUUAUCUGGAAAAGUAUUCUUUAGCUUUCUGUUAAGUUAAAUUGAACCUUAAUGAAAAUUUCAGAGAAGAUUAAUAAGAAAGAAAGAAAAUGGUGGCCAGCAGAAUAUUGAAUGAUUAUUUUACAGUUUAAUGUAAAUAAUUUAGAGAAUCAUAGAUUUUGUCCUAGUAUGGAUUGUGGCGGUCAACAAGUUUAACUCCCUCAUUUUAAGAUGAGGAAAUUGAGGUAGAGUGAUUUGUGCAAAGUAAAAAAAAAAUAAUAAUAAUAAUAAUGAAAGAAGUAGUAUUUGAAUCUAAAUCCUCCUGAGUCCAAAUUUACCUUUCUUGCCAUUGUCCCAUGCUCCUUCUAAGUUAUCUCAAGAAUCAUAUUUAAUAGCAAAGAAAGCAUUCUUCUGAGAAAUCAACAGUUGUUCCUUCUCUGUUAUAAUUAUUUUACUUAUUGUUUUGAGAAAUUGUUUAAUUGAGUAGGCACCUUCCUAGCUCUGGCCGCGCAACUAAUUCAAAAACGCAACUAAUUAGACAAUAUUUUAAAGUCUAUCAAGUCUACAUAAAAGUAAGUCAAAAGUUAAUUUGUACUAACUAUAAUAAUGAAUAUAUAUAUAUAUCUUGAGAGACAAGAUGGGGAAUCUGUUAUUAAAUAUCCUUUCUUAUUUUAAUUUCAUCUAUGUUUAAAUACAAUCAAAAUCUAAAAAUUCAAUUCACUUGGGGACAUUUACUUAGAAUAAAAAUAAUAUUUUAAAUGAUAAUUUUAUUACAUGACUUGUACAUAGUUGAUAUUCAAUAUAUGAUCAAGGAAUGAAAAUAAGCAAUAUGAACAAAACACUGCAUUUGAGCAUUAUUUUUGUACCUGACUAUAGUCAAAAGAAGAAAAAAGUAAGCAUAUCUAUGAAAGCAAAACUUACUUAGCCUUUGACCAAUAGUUGAAGAGAGACACUGAGCAUUGUUUCCUUAAUUAUUAAUACUGAACACCAUUUUCUAGUGAAUGUUUACUUUUAAAUUUCCUUAUUAAGAAUCAGUUUGUAUUUUCUUUUGCCUGAAAAAUAUUUGUGCACAUUUCAUAAAUUAUUUCCAUUAGAAUUUAAUGAAUUAUUCAGAAUUUAAUUAAUAUUUGUUAAGUACUUAUGUGCAAAACAGUGGAGUUACUAAGAGAAGGAUUUAAUUUGAUGAAGUUUUUUUUUUUUUAAAGCCUUAGUUUGCAAGUGUCAAGUUAAACAUGUAUCAGUGGUAACACUAAGUAAAGAAGUUGUUAAACACUAGUUAUUCUAAAAAUUUCCAUUUUGAGAAUGGGCUACCAUUAAUUUUUGUACUUCAUUUUACAAUAGGAAUGACUUUUUAGAUGGGGCUUUAAAUCUUAUUUUAAAAAAUUAUAAACAUAAAUUUUAAAAAUUACAAAAUCUUAUUUUUUUAAAAAAUUACAAAAAUAGUUAAGUAGAAAAAUAAUGAAGAAAAUAUUAAACAAAUGGAUAGAAAUAUAAAUUUUUCCAGGGUGUUAAAAAACACCACUUCUAUGUCAAAUCUAAAAAUCAAAUAUGAUCCUAAAGGGGGGGAGGGGCAUGAGUAGAGCUAAUUUUUUUUUCAAAAUGGCCACAUCAGUUAAUGAUUUCAACUAAAAUGAAAUGUUAAAACUAUGGCAAGUAUGGCAAGUAGCACGCAUGAAGGCUUUAGAAUUUCAAACACUGAGUUCCAAAGUCAAUAUUCUUUUUAAAAUCAUUAAAAUACAUUUAACCCUUAAAACCCUAAUUAAAAUAAUUAUAAUGCAUUUAAGUAACAUAUCUGUAAGAUUUGUUUCUGCAAAACACAGCUAUUCCGUUAUUUAUAUUUUGUUUGUUAAAAACAUUAAAUCAUGGUUAUAUAAAUGUAUAUUUUAAAGAAAACUUUUUUUAAAAACCGCAAUCUCCCAUAGGGGUUGAUUUUAAAAUCUCCGAAACAUUCAGUUGCAACAUUAAAAAAACAAACAAACAAAAAAAAAACAUACAAAUGCACCUCAAAAUUGCUCCUGGCGCAUUUAAAAAUGCAACAGAUCAUUAAUUUAUCAAUGUAACAGAAGAAAGGCACAGGCAGAAACUUGUACAGGAACAGUUUACAAGGUAAUUUCUUCAUCAUCAUCACCAUCACCACCAACAGUAGCAUAACCUCCCCCCUCCUCUUUUCUUCUCCGCUAAGUAACACACUCUUUCCACCUCAAUCAAAAGGACGCAGGGCCAACCUUCAAUUUGUGACUACGGAAGACUCCGAUUUGAGAGAGGAAGAGGGCAAUAGGGAGAAAGAGAGCUGAGAGCCAAAGCUGGGUGGGGUGCCUCCGCCCUUCUCCUGGGUGCACAGCUGAGUGGGCGGGCGGGCGGGCUCACGGGCUGGCUGCGGAGUGGUUGGUGGGCUCUGAAUAUUCUCCUACAAAGAAGAAGGGAGGGGAAGCGGUGGGUGGAGCAGGGCGGAAGCCCUGACAGGUGGGCCAGACAGCGUGUGCACACUGUGCAUAUUGCCAGUGGGGGAUGCUGCUGCGAGAGGAAAAGGGGGUGGGGAGUGGCGCGGCCAGAGCUAGGAAGGUGCCACCGGAGAGGCAGAGCCACGGAGCGCGGAGCUAUCAGGUUAUGUUGCAAGAAACCGGGGUACGUUCGCUGUGUAUGCAUCCUCUCUACCAGUCUGGCAGAAGUGCUGCACGCUUGAGCGCGCUGGAAGCUACGUUCUGUACCUUGGCUCCUCCGCCAGGAAGAGAGGGUGGCACUGUUGAAACCAAGAGUUAAGAGUUGUCAGAAGUUAAUAGAAAAUAAAUGAUAACAGUGAAGAAAAGUGAUUAAGCACAGAAACCUGAAAACCCAUAGAUGCUGAAACUGAGACUUGAAUUUACUGACUUUCCCUGGAUAGACAGCAAGCUGGAUUGGAGUCUUAUGACUCCAACUGGGACCCAUGAGGUAUGAGGAUUUUUGUUGCUCUCUUUCUCUCUUCUAGUUCUUAGAGCUUGGGAUAGUAUUCUCUAUAGUACCUCCCUAAACAUUCAUUUUAUUUCAGUUAUUCAGAAUUUACUGCCUUUUUGUUAUGUUAGUGUCUCACAGCUUCACUCCAGAAUAUGCAUUCUUGACCACACUAUGACAUUGUUAUCCUUUGACAUUUUUCAUUUUCUUCCCAUUUUACAGAUGAAGAAACUGAGGCAGAUAGAGACUUGCCCAUAAUCACACAGCUAGUAAGUGUCUCUGAAGCUAGAUUUGAACUCAGGUCUGCCUGAUUCCAGGUAUAGCUUCCUCUUCAUGGGGAUGACCUAAUGCUUGAACUGGUUCAUGAAAAAUUAAUUGGAUGAGUUUUGAUUGAGCAAAGGGGGUACAUUCCAUUUGGAAGUAACAUCAUGGGCAGAAAUGGGAAAGUACAAAGCAUAUUCAAGAAAUAUCAGAUAUGAGGCAGCUAGAUGGCACAGUGGAUAGAGCACCAGCCCUGAAAUUAGGAGGACCUGAGUUCAAAUCCAGCCUAAGACACUAGGGGACUUUCUACUUGUGAGACCCUAGGCAAAUUACUUAAAUCCAAUUGUCUCAGCAAAAAAAAAAAAGAAAGAAAGAAAGAAAGAAAAGAAAAGAAAAAGAAAAAUCAUAGUUCAGUUAUCUGUAAUAUAGAGAGAAGGCUGAAAAGAUAGGGUAGGGACAUAUCUUUUUGGAUAGAGGCAAUUGAUAAAUGUAAAGAAUUCUGAAUGUGAGGAUGAAUCUUCUGGACUUUAUUUAGUAGAUAGAUAAUGGGAAAUCAUGAAUGAUUUUUUUGAGCAAAUGAGCAGCACAGAGUAAUACUCAAGAAAAUUUACUACAGUGAUUCUAGUAGAUUUGGGAUGGAAAGUGCCAUCCGCAUCCAGAGAGAAAACUAUGGAGACUGAAUAUGGAUCAAAGCUUAGUAUUUUCACCUUUUUGUUGUUUUGUUUGUUUGUUUUUCCUUUCUCAUUUUUUUCCUUUUGAUCUGAUUUUUCUUGAGCAGCAUGACAAAUAUGGAAAUAUCUUUAGAAGAAUUACACAUGUUUAACCUAUAUCGAAUUGCUUGAUGUCUAGGAGAGAGGGGAGAGGAGGAAAAGGGAGAAAAACCUGGAACAAGGUUUUAGAGAUGAAUAUUGAAAACUAUCUUUGUAUGUAUUUGGAAAAAGAGAAUACUAUUAAAUAAAAAAGGGAAGAAAUUUUACUAUGGCAACAGUAUGUUAAUUGUGUCCAAGGGAUACUGGAAUCAGAGUAACCUUUAGGAGGGAUAUGGUGAUGCUCUAAUAAUGAAAACUGGAAGUGGGGUGUAGGUAGGAAUCAAGAGAAAGAGAUGGAUAUGUUUCUGGUGGCAGAAAUGGUAGGGAAAUCAAAGGGAGGAGAAACAGUUUCUUAUUUUGGGAGACAAGGGGUCUUUGGAUGUAUAGAAGUUGAAGUACCAAUGUAUAUAUAUAGAGAGAGGAGACAGUAGAAAAUAUGAAUCUGGAAUUUGGAAGCAUAAAGGCUAGCAACAUAUUUGGGAGUCAGUGUAAAGAUGAUAGUUGAUUUCACUUCCUACUUUACUGAGAAAAUUGAGGCCAUUUGUCUCAAAUUCCUUUCCUCUUCUGUAUUCUAAACAAUAAUACUGCUUUUCAUUAUCUCCUUUUCUCUUUUCCUUUACUCAUGUCUCUGAUGAAGAGUUGUUGUUCUUAUUUCUUUGCCAAGGUUCAUUCUUCCACACAAUCUUAAUCCCAUGUUUUCUGGGAUAUGUCAGGGGCAGUUAAACUGUGUUGGAUGCAAUGCCUUCCUUAAUUGCUAAUUUAUAGUUGCUGUAUGCUUUUAUAAUGUGUAUAAGAAUACGAUGUUUCUUAACAUUUGUUGUAUUAAAAUUUCUGUUCCUUUUGGAUAAAUUGAUUAUUACUUGCUAGGAACUGUAUCAAGAGAUAUUUGCAACUGCUAAGCAGAAGCGCCAGUGGUUAUGAUACUUGAGAAAUAAAAAGAACUCCAGUUCUUAUUAAAGAUAUGUCUUUGGGUUUAUCUUUACAGAUUUUACUAUUUUGUCUUAUACUUCUUACUGCUAAGUAACUUGUUUUCUGUUUCUGGCAAUUAUAAUUUCUUAGCUAAUGUUCUUCUUAAUUCAAAAGGACUAUUUUUUUGUAGAUUUUAGUUUGAUAAAAGAUUUAUAAAGAUAAAAGAUUUAUACCUCUUGACCAAAGAAUGAUGUGUGUUCUCUCCUUAUUCUUGGCAUCCCAUCUAUCUAAUCACUUGCCCUUGAGUUUCUGGGAAGAGGAAAACUGAACCAUCACUAGCACCGUUUUUUCUAUGUAGGAAAGGAAAGCUGGUGAGCCCCUCCUUGAUGCCGUACCUCCUAUGAGCUAUCUAGGAGUUGUUUUCUUGUUUAUAAUUUCCUCAUUGUCUGAUAUGAAACCAAAAGUUCCUGUGUAGCUUAGAUAGCUGGUGGAGAUGAUUCUCAAAAUUCAGACCCAAGAAACAAUAGCUAUUACUUCUUUGCUGACUACAAAGAGUAUCUUUGCAUCAGCUUCAUUAAGAUGUAAUGCAUUGUGUCAAUUUUUUUCCUCGCAUGUCACAGCAUUACUCAUUUAUUUAGAGAACAAUUGCUGUUAAAUACAUAAAAUAAUAUGGAUCAAGUCCUCUUUGCAAUUAUUCCAGCAGACCCACACAGUUAAGACACUACCUCAGUUAUUUUUCCUCUUUCCUUUACAAUAAAUCUUAUUCACAAACUUCUUCCCCUUAACCAUAUGCCCAGUCUCAUAUCUUUAAAAACGUUAUUUGAUUCUGCUGUACUUUCAAAGUAUGAUCUUUUAUUCCUUCUUUGUUUCAAAUCCAGUCUUCUACAAAGGUUCAGCUAUAUUAAUUAUCUCCAUUUCUUAAUCUUCUACUCAUUUGUCAAUUCCUUGGAUUCUGACUUCUGACUUUAUUAUUUGAUAGGAAUUGCUUCAUACAAAGUUAUCAGUGAACCUUUUUUCAGAGCCCAUUCCACUUGAUUUCUCUACAGUUUUGGACACCACUAACCAACCCUUCCUCCCAGCUACUCUUCUGUUUUGCUUGUUUGUUGUUUGCCCAUUGCUUCUUGGUCUAAAUGAUUCCUAAAUCUUUAUAUCCAAACAUAAUCUCUCCCCUGAUCUCCAGUACUUUAUGACCAACUUUUUAUUGGAUAUCUGGAUGUCCUGCCAACUCUGCAUGUAUUGAAUAUGUGUACAGUGUUCAACUCAGGAAAAACAAAAGGUCAAGAAAAUUAAAGAAAUCAAUGGGAAAAAAAUAUGAAGUAAAGAGGUAUAGUAGUACCAAACAAAACAAUCUGGUACUGGAUAAGAAACAAGGUGGUUUAUCAUUGGGAUAGAAUAAGUACAAAAUAUACAGAGCACAAUAACCUAGUGUCUGUUAUAGCUAAAAAUCUCAGCUAUUAGGGCAAGAAUUCACUAUUCAAGAAAAACUUUCAGGAUAGCUGGAAAGCUCUCUGGCUGAAACUAAACAUAGGCCAACAUCUCACACUAUAUACUAAGAGAAGCUCACAAAGGGUAUGUGAUUUGCUCAUAUAGGAUAAUAUAAUUGGCAAAUCAGGGGAGUAUAGAAUAAAUUACAGUCAGAUCUGUGGAUAGGGGAAGAGUUUAUUAUCAAAUAAGAGAAAAGAGGAUCACAAGAGGCAAAAUGAAAAUUUUGAUUACAUAAAAUUUUUGUAACAAACAAAGCUAAUGUGCUCACCACCAUAAGAAAAACAAGAAAUUAAGAAAAAUUCCAGCAAAUUUCUCUGCUAAAGGUCUCAUUUCCCAAAUUUAUGGGGGACCAAACCAAAUUUAUAAAAAUGAAGAACUAUCCAAUUAAUAAAUGGUCAAAGGAAGAAGUUUUCAGAAGAAAAAAUGAAUGGUCAUAUGAAAAAAUGGUCUAUAUCACCAAUAAUUGAAGAAAUGCAAAAUAAAACAGUUCAGAGGCACCACCUUACAUCAAAUUGACUAACAUAAGAGAAAAGGAAAAUGACAAAUGCUGAAGGGAAUAUGGAAAAAUAGGUGUACUAAUGAAUUCUUGAUGGAGUAAAGAACAGGUAUAACCACCGUGUAGAAGCAAUACCACUAUCCAAAGAGAUUAAAGGAAGACCAAUAUGUACAAAAAUAUUUAUAGUAGCUCUUUUUUGAGGAGGCAAGGAAUUAGAAAUUGAGGGGAUGCCCAUGUAUUGCGGAAUGGCCAAGCAAAUUGUGGUAUGUAGUUGUGGUGGUAAUAUGUGUUGUCAAAAAUAAAAAGCAGGAUGAUGUCAGAAAAAUUUGGAAAAACUUAUGCUAACAGAACCAA